AGUGAACGCUGGCGGUAGGCCUAACACAUGCAAGUCGAACGGCAGCACAGGAGAGCUUGCUCUCUAGGUGGCGAGUGGCGGACGGGUGAGGAAUACAUCGGAAUCUGCCCAGUCGUGGGGGAUAACGUAGGGAAACUUACGCUAAUACCGCAUACGACCUUCGGGUGAAAGAGGGGGAUCGCAAGACCUCUCGCGAUUGGAUGAGCCGAUGUCGGAUUAGCUAGUUAGCGGGGUAAUGGCCCACCAAGGCGACGAUCCGUAGCUGGUCUGAGAGGAUGAUCAGCCACACUGGAACUGAGACACGGUCCAGACUCCUACGGGAGGCAGCAGUGGGGAAUAUUGGACAAUGGGCGCAAGCCUGAUCCAGCCAUCCCGCGUGGGUGAAGAAGGCCUUCGGGUUGUAAAGCCCUUUUGUUGGGAAAGAAAUCUUUCAGGCUAAUACCCUGGGAGGAUGACGGUACCCAAAGAAUAAGCACCGGCUAACUUCGUG
rnacentral:rRNA from 1 species